rfam:Lodderomyces elongisporus NRRL YB-4239 supercont1.1 genomic scaffold, whole genome shotgun sequence.
GGUCCUAUAGUGUAGCUCGGUUAUCACUUUCGGUUUUGAUCCGAACAACAUCAGUUCGAAUCUGGUUAGGACCU